GAUGAACGCUAGCGGCAGGCCUAAUACAUGCAAGUCGAACGGAGCAGCAAUGCUCAGUGGCGCACGGGUGCGUAACGCGUAUGCAACCUACCUUUCAGUGGGGAUAGCCCGGGGAAACCCGGAUUAAUACCGCAUAAUAUAAUUGAGCGGCAUCACUUACUUAUUAAACAUUUAUAGCUGAAACAUGGACAUGCGUUAGACUAGCUAGUUGGUGAGGUAGCAGCUCACCAAGGCGAUGAUCUAUAGGGGUUCUGAGAGGAAGAUCCCCCACACUGGGACUGAGACACGGCGCAGACUCCUACGGGAGGCAGCAGUGGGGAAUUUUGGACAAUGGGCGCAAGCCUGAUCCAGCCAUGCCGAGUGCGGGAAGAAGGCCUUCGGGUUGUAAACCGCUUUUGUCGGGGAAGAAAUCUUCUGAGCUAAUACCUCGGGAGGAUGACGGUACCCGAAGAAUAAGCACCGGCUAACUACGUGCCAGCAGCCGCUGUAACAC
rnacentral:rRNA from 1 species